rnacentral:rRNA from 1 species
GACGUAGGGGGCAAGCGUUAUUCGGAAUUAUUGGGCGUAAAGCGCUCGUAGGCGGGACUGGAAGUCCGUGUUGAAAGACCUCGGCUCAACUGAGGGACCGGCUCGGAUACUCUAGUUCUUGAGGCAAUCAGAGGGUGAUGGAAUUCCCGGUGUAGCGGUGAAAUGCGUAGAUAUCGGGAGGACACCAGUGGCGAAGGCGAUCACCUGGGGUUGUUCUGACGCUGAGGAGCGAAAGCUAGGGGAGCAAACGGG